UGGCUGUGCUGCGAGGAGGAAGGGACAGGAGGUUGUGCGAGGGACAGGCAAGUGUAAGACAUCAUACAAGGGACAGACAGGGUUAGGCUGCCGUGCUAGGGACAAGAAGGAGAGAGCUGGAAGUGCUGAAGAAAGGUAGAAGGAGAGAAAGAGCCGGAGCUGUGUGGAGCUGCUCAUGGGACUGCAACAUAGAAAAGACAUGAGGAGAGUGAGCUAGUGGCUGUCUGGUGCUUUGUUGCCAGCUGGACUUGACACAAAUUCUUGAAAGAGUGUGAGCAUGACAGAAAUACUGCAUAUGGUACAGCUGUGUUUUUGGGGAGUUUAGCAGCUGAGAGCAAGAGAGCAAGCUAACAUCCUGUGUUCCAGCAAGACCUUGGCCAGCCAGAAACACGUGAGCCAUUGCAACCAGGACCACUGUCAUCCUUAGGGUGGUGUGUGCCAUCACAGACCGCUCCACCUCUCCAGAUCAGGAACCACUGAACUGUUGUAAAAGCUACUUGACAAAAAGCACUUGCUUGUUUUUUCCCAGUGAGGGAAGUCAUUAAUGGUUCUUUAAAUACCCUGAAGUUUAUUAAUGUUUUAUAGGAUUUUUCUUUGAUGCUAAUGCUUGCUCAUC